GCCACUGUCAUUUGUCAACUGAACUGAACUUAACAACAAACAAACAAACAAACCUGUUGCAACUCGAUUUUUUUUUUAUUUUUUUACCAGACAACCAGGCAACCAGGAGGAGGAAUGUAAGGCAUGUAGGAUAGGAUGACAGGAAAUUUACAGAGAUAAAUAAGGACUGGCCUCAGACACAGAGGCAUACCCAGCCAUCUAGCAGCCUCCAGGUCCAGAGACAUCAAAAAGAAACUACUGCUCUCCCACACACACACACACACACAAAACCAUGGCAAUGCCAUUGGCCAUCCCCAUGCAUGCUGCUCUCAUGAAUGGAAGAUUCUCCUCUCCCACACCAAGUGCAGUGCAGUGUAGUGCCGGGACAAAAGAGCACAAAGUACAUCCCCCCAGCCUGCCCACGCUUCCCAUCCAUCCCCCACCUUCCUUCCAUGCUCAGGUACGGUCCUGUGUCCAAUCCUCCAUGGAUCCAUCCACAGCAAGCAGCCCAACAAAUUCUGAAGAUCCAAUCCCUAUAGUUCCCCACACCAAGCAUCACAAUGCUCAUCCGGGUUAGGAAACUUUAACUAUACCAGAUCGAAUUCAGUAGAAACUAGCACAUCUUCAUGCUUGAUUCGCCUUAUCUUCAUGUGCAGGAUGCCCUUAGCUUGUUUGUUUCUCCCAUCUUUGAGCUCUUUGUUCUUGCGACAGACGGACGGACGAGCUUUUACGCUGCAAUUGGCACGGCAACCAAGGCCAUCGUAAAGCAAAAACACAAGUACACACCAGCAGAACAACUGAACUGAACUGAGCGG
rnacentral:lncRNA from 1 species